GACGAACGCUGGCGGCGUGCCUAAUACAUGCAAGUCGAACGCACUGACGUCGACAGAAGGUGCUUGCACUGGAAGUUGAUUGACGUGAGUGGCGGACGGGUGAGUAACACGUGAGUAACCUGCCCUUAAGCGGGGGAUAACAUUUGGAAACAGAUGCUAAUACCGCAUAAAAGUUGAGAUCACAUGGUCUUAAUUUGAAAGACGGCCUUUGGCUGUCACUUCAGGAUGGACCCGCGGCGUAUUAGCUAGUUGGUGAGAUAAUAGCCCACCAAGGCGAUGAUACGUAGCCGACAUGAGAGGGUAAUCGGCCACAUUGGGACUGAGACACGGCCCAAACUCCUACGGGAGGCAGCAGUAGGGAAUCUUCCACAAUGGACGAAAGUCUGAUGGAGCAACGCCGCGUGAGUGAAGAAGGUUUUCGGAUCGUAAAACUCUGUUGUUGGAGAAGAACAGGGACUAGAGUAACUGUUAGUCCUUUGACGGUAUCCAACCAGAAAGCCACGGCUAACUACGUGCCAGCCGCCGCCGUAA
rnacentral:rRNA from 1 species